UUGGUUAAGUUAGAAAGGGCGCACGGUGGAUGCCUUGGCACUAGGAGCCGAAGAAGGACGGGACUAACACCGAUAUGCUUUGGGGAGCUGUACGUAAGCGUUGAUCCAGAGAUUUCCGAAUGGGGGAACCCACUAUCUUUAGUCGGAUAGUAUCCUUACGUGAAUACAUAGCGUGAGGAAGGCAGACCCAGGGAACUGAAACAUCUAAGUACCUGGAGGAAGAGAAAGAAAAAUCGAUUUCCUGAGUAGCGGCGAGCGAAACGGAAAGAGCCCAAACCAAGAAGCUUGCUUCUUGGGGUUGUAGGACACUCUAUACGGAGUUACAAAAGAAAGUUAUAAAUGAAGCGGUCUGGAAAGGCCCGCCAAAGACGGUAACAGCCCGGUAGUUGAAAUAGCUUUCCCUCCAGAGUGGAUCCUGAGUACGGCGGAACACGUGAAAUUCCGUCGGAAUCCGGGAGGACCAUCUCCCAAGGCUAAAUACUCCCUAGUGACCGAUAGUGAACCAGUACCGUGAGGGAAAGGUGAAAAGCACCCCGGAAGGGGAGUGAAACAGUUCCUGAAACCGUGUGCCUACAAGUAGUUAGAGCCCGUUAAUGGGUGAUAGCGUGCCUUUUGUAGAAUGAACCGGCGAGUUACGAUUUGUUGCAAGGUUAAGCGGAAAAAGCGGAGCCGUAGCGAAAGCGAGUCUGAAUAGGGCGCAUAAGUAACAGGUCGUAGACCCGAAACCAGGUGAUCUACCCAUGUCCAGGAUGAAGGUAAGGUAAUACUUACUGGAGGUCCGAACCCACGCACGUUGAAAAGUGCGGGGAUGAGGUGUGGGUAGCGGAGAAAUUCCAAUCGAACUUGGAGAUAGCUGGUUCUCUCCGAAAUAGCUUUAGGGCUAGCCUCGAGGUAAAGAGUCAUGGAGGUAGAGCACUGUUUGGACUAGGGGCCCUUCUCGGGUUACCGAAUUCAGAUAAACUCCGAAUGCCAUGUACUUAUACUCGGGAGUCAGACUGCGAGUGAUAAGAUCCGUAGUCGAAAGGGAAACAGCCCAGACCACCAGUUAAGGUCCCCAAAUAUAUGUUAAGUGGAAAAGGAUGUGGGGUUGCUUAGACAACCAGGAUGUUGGCUUAGAAGCAGCCACCAUUGAAAGAGUGCGUAAUAGCUCACUGGUCGAGUGACCCCGCGCCGAAAAUGUACCGGGGCUAAACAUAUUACCGAAACUGUGGAUGAACCUCUUUAGAGGUUCGUGGUAGGAGAGCGUUCUAAGGGCGGUGAAGUCAGACCGGAAGGACUGGUGGAGCGCUUAGAAGUGAGAAUGCCGGUAUGAGUAGCGAAAGAAGGGUGAGAAUCCCUUCCACCGAAUAUCUAAGGUUUCCUGAGGAAGGCUCGUCCGCUC
rnacentral:rRNA from 1 species